CCCGCUGAACUUAAGCAUAUUAAUAAGGGGAGGAAAAGAAACUAACAAGGAUUCCCCUAGUAACGGCGAGUGAAGCGGGAAAAGCUCAAGCUUAGAAUCGGGCGCCUUCGGCGUUCGAAUUGUAGUCUAGAGAGGCGCUGUCAGCGCGUGGCCCGGACCUAAGUCCUUUGGAACAAGGCGUCAGAGAGGGUGAGAGCCCCGUCUUUGGUUCGGAGACCGCCGCGUACGAUACGCUUUCUGCGAGUCGGGUUGCUUGGGAUUGCAGCCCUAAUUGGAUGGUAAAUUUCAUCUAAAGCUAAAUAUAGGCGAGAGACCGAUAGCGAACAAGUACCGUGAGGGAAAGAUGAAAAGAACUUUGAAAAGAGAGUUAAAAAGUGCUUGAAAUUGCUAAAAGGGAAGCGAUGGAAAUCAGUCAUGUGCGACUGAGGCAUUUCCUGAGGGCACCGGAGUGGGGCGUCAGAUGACCGCAAGGCGUCUGGUGUCCCUCGAAAAGUGCCCAAAGUCCCUGCCUCGGCGCAAGUGUCAGGAUCAGUUCGGUGCGCAGCAGAACCGUCACGGGAAGGUGGAACGAAUCGGCCUCGUGCCGUGCAGUUCUCUUACAGCCCGUGGAGUGGAGCUCGCGCGCCGGACUGAGGCCACAGAAUGUGGGCAACGCGCGCCUUCUUGGCGUGGCGGCCUGUCCCUGGGAUUCGAGUCUGUGCGCAUAUGCAUUGCAUUGCCGCGGGCGAAGUGUCCUACUGGACGGGUGCGGCCAUCUGCGCGUUCGCGAUCCUGACGAAAUGGUUUUCACCGACCCGUCUUGAAACACGG
rnacentral:rRNA from 1 species